rnacentral:rRNA from 1 species
CCUACGGGAGGCAGCAGCAAGGAAUUUUCGGCAAUGGGCGCAAGCCUGACCGAGCAACGCCGCGUGGAGGACGACGGCCUUCGGGUUGUAAACUCCUUUUGCGGGGGAUGAUGAUGACCGUACCCCGCGAAUAAGGCUCGGCUAACUCUGUGCCAGCAGCCGCGGUAAGACAGAGGAGCCAAGCGUUGUCCGGAUUGACUGGGCGUAAAGCGCACGCAGGCGGUCGUGCACGUGGGGUGUGAAACCUGGCCGCUUAACGGCCAGACGCCACCGCAUACGGCGCGACUUGAGAGUGGCAGAGGUUCGUGGAAUUGCCGGUGUAGUGGUGAAAUGCGUAGAGAUCGGCAGGAACACCAAGGGCGAAAGCAGCGAACUGGGCCAUAUCUGACGCUCAGGUGCGAAAGCGUGGGGAGCGAACCGGAUUAGAUACCCGGGUAGUCCACGCCGUAAACGAUGAAUACUCGGCAUCUGGCGGCCGAUUUUCGGCGGCCGGGUGCCCCAGCUAACGCGGUAAGUAUUCCGCCUGGGAACUACGAGCGCAAGCUUAAAACUCAAAUGAAUUGACGG